CCGCACAGCCGGGGAGAUGGCGGUGCCCUGUAUCUGCAAUCCGCCUUAGCAGAGGUGAUAUCCCGCCCCGGAUGAGAGGCUGUAAGGCUGCCCACGGUAAGUGGUGCUGACACGAGGGUCCUUGCGCAACAGAGACUUGUGAACCUUGUCAGGGCAGGAAUGCAGCAGCAAUAAGCAGGAACUUCUGUGUGCCGUAAGAUUGCCGUCGUCGAGCUAACUGCCGUGGUAACGUUUAUGGCCAGCAUUCAAAGCGGGAUGUGCGG
rnacentral:SRP_RNA from 1 species